CUACACACAUCUAACCCUGAUCACUUCUCCUUUCAGCGCCGUUUGAAACCAUGGUCACACCUCUUCAAGCAUGCAUAGAUGCGGUGUUGAGGUGAGGAGAAGCCACGAAGCCUUAUGCACCGCCUCACCCAUUUUCUUUUCUUCUAUCUCUUGUUAAUAGCACUUCUCAUUUUCUUUGAACCAAAACACGCAUAAACGAAGGAGAAGAACAGAGAAGGGGAGCAAAACGAAACUAAGGAGGAAGAAAGAAGCCAUCCGCAGCAAGAAGGAAGGCACCCCACCUCUCAUCACUCUGAAUCUUCGAAGCUUCUUUGGUGGGUGAGAACCAGCAACUCUCCUUCUUCCUCUUCUUCAGAUUCAAAUUCUGUUCUUCCCUUUUAUUCCACCUCUGCCAUUCUAAUUCCAAUUCUUGCUAGAACAGUAGUGACCGUAGGCAAGAACUCUUCCCUUGCUUGAGGUGAGGUCGGCCAUUCGUUCUUGAAAGAGAGGCUAAAGCUCCAAUUCCAUACGGUUAGGGUUCUGAUUCCGGAAAGAAGUAAAUAUAGACUUUCCAACUUCAAAAGAGAGGAGCUCUUUGAGUUUCGUUCUAACUUCUGAGCUAUGAGGAUCCAGUGCACGGCGGAGUCUUCAUAUGGAGCACGCUUUGGACCGCUUUCUAGAACCAUGUUCGGAGAUCACUCCAAAGUUAGUCGCAGUGAAUCUUUCGCUCCUUUUUGAUGAUCUUAGUAUUACUUUCCCCUCGCUUUUGUAGUACUUUUAGAGGGGUAGGAUGUCUUAGUAGUUCGGUUCCAGUUUAGGAAACCCGUGUGAAGGUUGGGACUAUUUUUCUUUACUUUUGACUCUGUAAUAUAACUUGGUGUAGUACUCGUUAUUUUGAUAAUUGGCAUGUAUCCUCAAACUUAUGUUUAUAUGAUUAAUAUAUG